CCCUUAACACCUUCUCUCAUUCUACUACUCUUCCAACUCCUCUCCACCCUUCCCUUCACCACUCUCGCCCUCCACUUCCACCAUGUCAACCUCCACGACCUCACCGCCGGCCACCGCCCUCCCGACGCCACCCCACAAAAAGAAAAAUCCCACCACCAUGACCCCCACAAGCUCUUCCUCAACCUCCUCCACCGCCACACCCUCCCCGGACGCAACCACUCCACCCUCCACGACCGCCUCAUCCGAGACUCCCAUCGCGUCUCCUUCCUCCUCCGCCGCCUCGGCGCCGGCUACCACCCUGACGACUUUGGCUCCGACGUCGUCUCCGGCCUCG
rnacentral:lncRNA from 1 species